rnacentral:misc_RNA from 1 species
AAGUCGUAACAAGGUUUCCGUAGGUGAACCUGCGGAAGGAUCAUUAAAAAUUGUCGAGCCGACCUCGUGUCGUGCCUCAGCAAACCAAUGUGAACACACCCGUUGCUUCGGCGGCAUGCCCAGCGCUGUCAGCCCGUCCGAAGCCCCCUUUCAAACGAUCUUCCUUGCUGAAUCUAAGCCAGUUGCCAAGGUCAAGCAACCGAAUCGAAAAUAAAGGCCAAAAAGUUCCGGUUUAAAAAAUC